AGCAAUUUGAGCAUAGAGUAGCGUUUCUGUGUGAUCAGACCAAGUAGGGUAGCCUUUACUCCCCACAUGCAUGAAUGAGCCUUUCAUACCCAUGACCCCGGCACCAGUUGUCCUUCCUUGCACCACUUUUGAUAGGUAUUAACCACUGCAUACCGGGAUCACCAACACAAGCCAUUUUGGAGAUGCACUGACCCAGGUAUCUAGCCUUCACUAUUUUUCUUUAUUUGACAGUCUCUCAGAUCUUUCACUUGCCCAUUUUCCCUUCUUUCAACACACAAAAUAGUGGACUUUGUAUCCUGAUCCUGGAAAGACAGACACCUUCUAGUCAAGGCAGUGGGAUUGUGCCCUAGUUGGCAAUAGCUUUAUAUGUGCGAAAAAGCAC